rnacentral:rRNA from 1 species
AGCAAAAGCAAGUCGACAAUGGCAUGAUAUUUGGUUCAUUUGACCCGAAACUAAGUGAUCUUAUCUUGAACAGGUUGAAGAAAGCGUAAUGUCUUUUGGAGGACCGAACCGACGUCUGUAGCAAUAGACGCGGAUGAUUUGAGAUAAGGGGUGAAAGGCCAAUCAAACUUAGAAAUAGCUGGUUCUUCGCGAAAUAUAUUGAGGUAUAGCGUACAUAGAAUUUCUGUUACUGGGGGUAGAGCACUCAUUGAGCUAUGGGGGUCCAAAACCUUACUGCUCUCAAGGAAACUCCGAAUACCAUAUAACAUG